rnacentral:lncRNA from 1 species
AGAAAAGUCUUAAGAAAAAUACUAUGAGGGGACACCAAAAUUAAGCACAUGAGGUUUAGGUUGAAAGAACCAAUCAAGAGAAAAUCAAGAGACGCUAAGGGGAAUGCUAAACAUAGAUUCACAUUUAUGUAUACAAAAAUCAGGUGAGAAAAUUGAGAAAUUGCAUAUCUUGUGUCAUCUUGCUCAAUUCUAGGAAAUUUGACUACUUGGGUAUCUUGUGUGUGAAACAUGUUAUGUUGAGUCAAUAUGGUUUCAUGAAUCUCAUUACAUAUUUUUCAUUUUUUUUUUUUUACUUUUUUCAUUUUCUAGGGACUAGCAACGUUUAGGUUGAGGGGGAUGAUUGGAGCUAAAAUAUGUGCUCUAAUGACACAUAUUUGAUAUGAUUUGUGCACCAAAGGACAUUCAAAUCACCCAACUUGACCUAAAUCGAUGCUAAGGCCCUAUCCAUGAGUUUAAUUUGUAUUUUGGAGACUUAUCUCAGGUUCAAGGGAAGAAAAUGGUGCAAGUUGAAUCACUUUAGAUUUUGAAAGAUCAAGAAAGGGUUAAAUGAGGAAAUAAGUGAGUCACGACUCAUGACUAUGAGGAAAGGCAAAAAGAGGAUAUCAUGAGUUUGGAAGAUGAGAAAUGACCAUUAUGGAGUAAGAAAGAAGGCAAGAAAACAUGGGAAAUGAGGCAUGAAGCAAGAUUCAGUUGCAUGGAAAUUUAGAACUCAAAAAUCUGAUGGUAAUAUAUGCUUUGAGUCUGAGGAAAAAUUUAGAGCACUUUUCGAAGGCCAUUUUAUACAUACUAUAUAUCGUUCCGAAGCUCAGAAAGUCAAGAGUCCAAUGCUUUAAACAGUGUGCAAAUCGGAGCUCAAAAUGAAGAAGUUAUGACCAUUUGAAAACAACUACAUAAAGCUGAAGGGUCAUUUCGAAAUUCAACUUUUGAAUUCAAAAUCCACUUUGAAAUGACACCAAUUUCGAACUCACCCGCUGCCACUGAUUACUACUUAAAAAGAGCAUAUUUUAAAUGAUAAUUCUCAUGAGUUUCACAUUUUUUAAGUAGUAAUUAUGCCUAAAACACUCAAUUAACAUGUCGUUGCGCUUACAAGAGUUACUAACAAGUUUUAUGAAGUUUUGGAGUUAUUACAAGGUAUGAUUUUGAUAAAUUGGUGACAAAAGAGAUGAAUCAAAUUGAAGAGAACAAAUAAAGUUGAUGAAGAUCCAAAUACAUAAUGAAAAAAGUAAUGCAAUUGGUUUUGAAUGGGAUUUGGAGGUAAUUGAGGUGGAUUCAAAAGAAAAAAAUGGAAGAAAUGAAAAAAAUGAGUGAAAAAUUAUGUAUUUCCAUUUUGCAUGAUCAUGCGAAAUGGACCAGAAAGAAUUUUUUGCUGCAAAUCAAAGGGAAAUCUUAAAGAUGAUUUGCCAUGAC